rnacentral:tRNA from 1 species
UAGAAAGUGGUGUAGAGGGAGCACUUGGAGUUUUGAUCUCCAGGGGAAGGGUUCAAUUCCCUUAUUUCUAA